CAGCCGCCGCGGUAAUACGGAGGGUGCAAGCGUUAAUCGGAAUUACUGGGCGUAAAGCGCACGCAGGCGGUCUGACAAGUCAGAUGUGAAAUCCCCGGGCUUAACCUGGGAACUGCAUUUGAAACUGUCAGGCUGGAGUCUUGUAGAGGGGAGUGGAAUUCCAGGUGUAGCGGUGAAAUGCGUAGAGAUCUGGAGGAAUACCGGUGGCGAAGGCGGCCCCCUGGACAAAGACUGACGCUCAGGUGCGAAAGCGUGGGGAGCAAACAGGAUUAGAUACUCCAGUAGUCCCUGUCUCUUAUAC
rnacentral:rRNA from 1 species